UAGGAGAAGAGUUGGCAAAUCCGCUCUUUAAUCUGAAGACGUGAUGUGGACUGAAAAUAAGUAGGGAAGCACGUGAGCUGACUGUCAAGAAAAGCCGCUAUUGUUUGCAGGAUACCCGUACCGUAAACCGACACAGGUGGAUGAGGAGAGAAUCCUAAGGCCGACGGGAGAAGCAUUGUUAAGGAACUCGGCAAAAUGACUCCGUAACUUCGGGAGAAGGAGUGCCAGUAAGAUGGCCGCAGAGAAUUGGCCCAAGCAACUGUUUAGCAAAAACACAGGUCUAUGCAAAACCGAAAGGUGAGGUAUAUGGGCUGACGCCUGCCCGGUGCUGGAAGGUUAAGGGGAGAGGUUAGCGCAAGCGAAGCUUUGAACUUAAGCCCCAGUAAACGGCGGCCGUAACGAUAACGGUCCUAAGGUAGCGAAAUUCCUUGUCGGGUAAGUUCCGACCCGCACGAAAGGCGUAAUGAUUUGGGCACUGUCUCAACAAUGCACCCGGUGAAAUUGAAAUACCAGUGAAGAUGCUGGUUACCUGCGCCAGGACGGAAAGACCCCAUGGAGCUUUACUCCAGCUUGAUACUGGGAUCCGGUAUUGCAUGUACAGGAUAGGUGGGAGGCUAGGAAAUGGUAACGCCAGUUGCCAUGGAGCCAAUGUUGGGAUACCACCCUUGCAGUACUGGGUUUCUAACCAGCAGCCGUGAUCCGGCUGGGGGACAAUGUCAGGUGGGGAGUUUGACUGGGGCGGUCGCCUCCGAAAGGGUAUCGGAGGCGCUCAAAGGUUCCCUCAGAAUGGUUGGAAACCAUUCGAAGAGUGCAAAGGCAGAAGGGAGCUUGACUGCGACACCGACGGGUGGAGCAGGUACGAAAGUAGGACUUAGUGAUCCGGUGGUAUAAAGUGGGAUUGCCAUCGCUCAACGGAUAAAAGCUACCCUGGAUAACAGCUUAUCACUCCCAAGAGUUCACAUCGACGGAGUGGUUUGGCACCUCGAUGUCGGCUCAUCGCAUCCUGGGGCUGAAGUAGGUCCCAAGGGUUGGGCUGUUCGCCCAUUAAAGCGGUACGCGAGCUGGGUUCAGAACGUCGUGAGACAGUUCGGUCCCUAUCCGGCGUGGGCGUAAGAUAUUUGAGAGGAGCUGUCCUUAGUACGAGAGGACCGGGAUGGACUGGCCGCUGGUGUAUCUGUUGUCUUACCAAAGGCAUAGCAGAGUAGCCAAGCCGGGAAGGGAUAAACGCUGAAGGCAUCUAAGCGUGAAGCCCCCCUCAAGAUGAGAUAUCUCAUAACGUCAAGUUAGUAAGACCCCUUGAAGACGACGAGGUAGAUAGGGCAGAGGUGGAAGUGUGGUAACACAUGGAGCUGACUGUUACUAAUAGGUCGAGGGCAUAACCG
rnacentral:rRNA from 1 species